AAUUAACAUAGCUCUUUUAGGACUUUUGUAGCAGGUUUUCUGACUUUGGUCAGAAAACAACA
ensembl:snRNA Gm27964 predicted gene, 27964